rfam:Acinetobacter guillouiae CIP 63.46 genomic scaffold acLsj-supercont1.14, whole genome shotgun sequence.
CCAAUGUGAUUUCGUCACACAUUGAGUUAGCCUCAGAGCCUUAAAUUGUGGGUGACUCCCCGACCAAUGGAAUUGAAAGACACAGAACAGAUCAAUAGCUAACUUUGAGAUGUUUGUCGUGUUGAGUAGCGGUAGAUCAGUUGCCGAGCUGAUC